CUUCACCGACCCCAGCCACAGCGGAACAGUCCGGUCCUGGCCGUAGGUCGCGAGCAACGCCUGCGCCUC
rnacentral:antisense_RNA from 1 species